AACGAACGCUGGCGGCAUGCCUAACACAUGCAAGUCGAACGAGAUCUUCGGGUCUAGUGGCGCACGUGUGCGUAACGCGUGGGAAUCUGCCCUUUGGUUCGGAAUAACAGUUGGAAACGACUGCUAAUACCGGAUGAUGACGAAAGUCCAAAGAUUUAUCGCCAGAGGAUGAGCCCGCGUAGGAUUAGCUAGUUGGUGUGGUAAAGGCGCACCAAGGCGACGAUCCUUAGCUGGUCUGAGAGGAUGAUCAGCCACACUGGGACUGAGACACGGCCCAGUCUCCUACGGGAGGGAGCAGAAGGGAAUAUUGGACAAUGGGCGAAAGCCUGAUCCAGCAAUGCCGCGUGAGUGAUGAAGGCCUUAGGGUUGUAAAGCUCUUUUACCCGGGAUGAUAAUGACAGUACCGGGAGAAUAAGCUCCGGCUAACUCCGUGCCAGCCGCCGCGGUAA
rnacentral:rRNA from 1 species